UGGGAAAGGAAGUCAGAACUCUCAGACAGCCAGGAGGUUGGCUUAGAAGCAGCCAUCCUUUAAAGAAAGCGUAAUAGCUCACUGGUCAAGAGGUCUGGUGCCGACAAUACAACGGGGCUAAAACUGUAUACCGAAGCUGCGAAUGCACAUCUUUUAGAUGUGCGUGGUAGGAGAGCAUUCUCAACAGCGUUGAAGCCAAACUGAGAAGAUUGGUGGAGCGUUGAGAAGAGACCCUGCCGGCAUAAGUAGCGAUAAUGAAUGUGAGAACCAUUCACGCCGAAAGUCUAAGGUUUCCUGAGGAAGGUUAAUCCGCUCAGGGUUAGGCGGUACCUAAGGCGAGGCCGAAAGGCGUAGUCGAUGGACAUCCGGUUAAUAUUCCGGACCUCCCAAAGAGUCGUUAUUACGAUGGGGUGACGCAGAAGGAUAAGCAGGACCUCCUAUGACUAUGGGGUUCGAUGUGCGCAAGCUGGAUCUGGUAGGCAAAUCCGCCAGGUCUUAACAGUGAGGCACAAAGCAGUAAGCCGUAUGGCUGAAAGCUGCUGAUUUCACGCUGCCAAGAAAAACCUCUAAGGAGAAUUUUUGGGAACCGUACCACAAACCGACACAGGUAGACGAGGAGAAUAUCCAAAGGCGCUCGAGUGAAAGCUUGUUAAGGAACUCGGCAAAUUAGACCCGUAACUUCGGGAGAAGGGUCGCCCCCUGGGUGCAAGCCUAGUGGGGCCGCAGUGAAACGCGAACGGCGACUGUUUAACAAAAACACAGGUCUCUGCAAAGUCAAAAACGACGUAUAGGGGCUGACUCCUGCCCGGUGCCGGAAGGUUAAAAGGAGGGGUUAGACGCAAGUCGAAGCUCUGAAUUGAAGCCCCGGUGAACGGCGGCCGUAACUAUAACGGUCCUAAGGUAGCGAAAUUCCUUGUCGGGUAAGUUCCGACCUGCACGAAUGGAGUAACGAUCGUUCGACUGUCUUAACGAGUUGCUCGGCGAACUUGUAGUACCGGUGAAGAUGCCGGUUACCCGCAGCUAGACGAAAAGACCCCGUGCACCUUUACUAUACUUUUACUAUGAGUUACGGCACUUGCUGCGCAGGAUAGGUGGGAGGCUUUGAUACCAGACUUUUGGGUUUGGUGGAGCCAACGGUGAGAUACCACCCUGCGAGUGUUGUGAUUCUAACCUGCUCCCCUGAUCGGGGAGAGGGACAUAGUAAGACGGGUAGUUUGACUGGGGCGGUCGCCUCCUAAAUUGUAACGGAGGCGCGCGAAGCUACACUCAGGUCGUUUGGAAAUCGACCGUCGAGUGCAAAGGCAUAAGUGUGGUUAACUGCGAGACCUACAAGUCGAGCAGAUGCGAAAGCAGGCCUUAGUGAUCCGGUGGUUCUGUAUGGAAGGGCCAUCGCUCAACGGAUAAAAGGUACGCCGGGGAUAACAGGCUGAUCGAAGCCAAGAGUUCAUAUCGACGCUUCGGUUUGGCACCUCGAUGUCGGCU
rnacentral:rRNA from 1 species